UGUUAUGGCGGGUUGCGUGGGGACACCUUCGGGUGUGCCGGGUUCCUAACGUCCCGGUCGGCCAACCCCGCGCAACCUGCCACCCUA
rnacentral:antisense_RNA from 2 species